AUGCAAGUCGAGGGGCAGCAUCAUCAAAGCUUUCUUUGCUGGCGACCGGCGCACGGGUGAGUAACACGUAUCCAACCUGCCCUUUACUCGGGGAUAGCCUUUCGAAAGAAAGAUUAAUACCGGAUGGCAUAAUUAUUCCGCAUGGGAUAAUUAUUAAAGAAUUUCGGUUGUCGAUGGGGAUGCGUUCCAUUAGGUUGUUGGUGAGGUAACGGCCCACCAAGCCUUCGAUGGAUAGGGGUUCUGAGAGGAAGGUCCCCACAUUGGAACUGAGACACGGUCCAAACUCC
rnacentral:rRNA from 1 species